rnacentral:rRNA from 1 species
UGGGGAAUUUUGGACAAUGGGCGAAAGCCUGAUCCAGCAAUGCCGCGUGUGUGAAGAAGGCCUUCGGGUUGUAAAGCACUUUUGUCCGGAAAGAAAUCCUUGGCUCUAAUACAGUCGGGGGAUGACGGUACCGGAAGAAUAAGCACCGGCUAACUACGUGCCAGCAGCCGCGGUAAUACGUAGGGUGCAAGCGUUAAUCGGAAUUACUGGGCGUAAAGCGUGCGCAGGCGGUUUGCUAAGACCGAUGUGAAAUCCCCGGGCUCAACCUGGGAACUGCAUUGGUGACUGGCAGGCUAGAGUAUGGCAGAGGGGGGUAGAAUUCCACGUGUAGCAGUGAAAUGCGUAGAGAUGUGGAGGAAUACCGAUGGCGAAGGCAGCCCCCUGGGCCAAUACUGACGCUCAUGCACGAAAGCGUGGGGGAGCAAACAGGAUUAGAUACCCUGGUAGUCCACGCCCUAAACGAUGUCAACUAGCUGUUGGGGAUUCAUUUCCUUAGUAACGUAGCUAACGCGUGAAGUUGACCGCCUGGGGAGUACGGUCGCAAGAUUAAACUCAAAUGAAUUGACGGGGUCAUAGCUGUUUCC